GAGAAUCGCUAGAACCCGGGAGGCAGAGGUUGCAGUGAGCUGAGAUCAUGCCACUGCACUCUAGCCUGGGCGACAGAGAGAGACUCUGUCUCAAACAAAACAAAACAAAAUAAACAAACAAACACCCUUACACACAGCGUUUUCCAUGACCUGGGUAAUGGGCAUAUCCAGUAGAAACACAUUCUGUUCAUCACAAAGCCAACAUCAAAUGGCUUGUGUUCAAAUCUGAUGAGCUGCUCCGUCUGAGACAUUUGACUUGGCAUGUAGACAAGGAAAGGAACAGGGACCUUUCUCAGGGUACACAGACCCUACAGUGACUUUUACCCAGUCCAGCAGUCCAGCUGUCCCCUCGGGAGUCACCUCCUGCGUGUCUGAAUCAGGGACAGCUCCCCGUGAUUGUCCCAUGGUGAGCUGCGGGUGCUGUGUCAACCCAAACACACUCUUCCACCCUGCAGCAUUUAAAACUGAAGACACUGCUCCUAAAUCAGCUACUGCCAGAAUCCAUUUUCCUAAAGGUGCCCCAGGAAGCAGAAAACAUGGAGCUACAAAAUGAAACCCUUCCGUCACACUCCACGGCCUGGCUUUGGCAGUCGCUUGGUUCUGUCCUCCCUGCUGUGGACCACCUUGUUGGUGACCAGAGUUCUCAGAGGCACUUUCUGUUAUUCCUGCGUCAUUUUGCCCUUGGGAGUCAGCUUUGAGGCUAGCAGCCUGUCAUCCAAAAGGCCACCAGGAUGGCCAGAUAGUAGAAAGAGCUGGACUGGCGAUUUCAGCUUGCAAAUCAGGGAGAGGUCAUCUCCGGUGUGGACUGAAGGUUUGCUGUCUUUCAAGAGGGAAAGGGCAGGUGAGGUUGAUGCCUCACAGGGCCCGUAUCACACAGCAGAGUCACACGUAUUCAGCAGGUUUGGAGGAAAAGCUAUAUUUGUUCAUAAUGGGGGUUGAGUGCAUGUGCGAUGGGUAAACAUGCAUGUAACAUACAUUUCCAUGUUCACUUUGGGGUGGGGCUCUGGCUUUAAAAUGAGGUGGAAUGUGGCUCUUUUCAUCAAAAUGUGAGCUAUAAGGCUGGGUGUGGUGGCUCACGCCUGUAAUUCCAACACUUUGGAAGGCUGAGGUGGGAGGACUGCUUGAGGCCAGGAGUUCAAGACCGACCUGGGCAACAUAACAAAACCCUGUCUCUACAAAAAAAAAUUAAAAAAAUUAAAAAGAAAAAGGGCAGGGCUGGGCACGGUGGCUCAUGUCUGUAAUCCCAACACUUUGGGAGGCCAAGGUGGGCAGAUCAUUUGAGGUUGGGAGUUUAACACCAGCCUGGCCAACAUGGUGAAGCCCCAUUUCUACUAAAAAUACAAAAAUUAGCUGGGUGUGGUGGUGGGCACCUGUAGUCCCAGCUCCUCAGGAGGCUGAGGCGGGAGAAUAGCUUGAACCUGGGAGGUGGAGCUUGCAGUGAGCCAAGAUCAUGCCAUGGCCCUCCAGCCUGGCCCACAGAGCCACCAUCUCAGAAACAAAACAAAACGAAACAAAACGAAACGAAACAAAACAAAAAAAGAGGGAGGGUACAGUCACAUUGUUUUGAGGUCUUGGUUAAACCUACUGAAUCCACACGUUGCAUGUGAAAAGGAGGCAGAGGAACAGUCCAUUAUGUAUUCUUCUUGAGCUCAAUAAAACUACACUUUUAUGAGAAAGAAGUCAAAUAUGCAUUGAGGUGGUGGUGGGCC
rnacentral:lncRNA from 1 species